rnacentral:lncRNA from 1 species
GCAGAGUACUGGGGUGGCAGGUGUGUGAAAGGUGACAAGAAUUCAAGACCAAAGUUUGAAAUGUUCAUGCAUUGUGAAGGAAAUAAUUUUCAUGGUUUCUUGCAAGAGUGUUCUGAAAAACACGGAGUCAUUUCAGUCAAUGAGUUGUUGUUCUCCCCCUCACCACAUUUCUGUGGUCACUGUCACCAGUGGAAAUCACAAGCUCGUUAUCAUUACUUGAACUGGCCUACACCAAUUCCCUUGAUCCAGUGGACUGAUGAUCAUUAGUAUCCUGCUUUCUUCAUGCCCCAGUCAAGGUACAGUAGUUUCAUAAGGUGUUACCUGCUGAUUAUCACAAUAUAGAUUAUAAAAAAACAGAUUAUCUGCUGGUUAUCGCAAUGCAAAGGUCUGCUGCCAUCAAAUACCAGACAUUUUGGAGGAAUUUCUUUGCACAGCAAGAAGCUUUUGAGCUCACAAAAGACUUCCAUUGAAAUGUUCACCUUAUUGGCCCUCUUACCAGACUGCUCACAUUCUGAAUCCUUUAGAGCUGCUCUUAGCCCCAGUUGCUUAAUAGUGGAACUGUCUCCUGUAUCAAGAGAGCUUUAAUUUCAAGCCAUAUCCCA